GGAAAAUACGUAAGACUGCAGUGAAGCGAUGCACCAGAGUAAUCCCUGGCCAAAGAACAGUUCUCCACAGUCGCUGUCCACAUGGGUCAGUGGGACCAAGAAGCACUCUGCUAAUGUGGGACUCUGACCAGCAACAUCCAGCAAGACCCAGACAGCGUUUUCUAUCUCCCAGCUGGAGUUUUUUGUUUCUGUGACUGGAGAGUCAGAUUUUUGUUGAGCUUCACACUUGCAGAGGUAAGUCAGUUUGCAGAGAUCCCUCCCACCCUGGCUUUUAUGUGCUAGAUUUCUUAUCUGAAACGGUAAUAUUUCAGUGACUGCUGCUUCUACACUCUACUGAUCCCUGAUGGGAGAAUCAUCAAUUUUGCCAACAAAGAAGCCUGGUGGAUGUUUGUUUACAGUCUGAUGAUGGGACAUCAUGCUCUGCAUCUUCAAAGUUUGCCUCCUCAUUAUUAUUCAUACCCAGUAAUGUGAAGUAUGCUCAUAUCUACUAUAACUGAACCAACCUGGUGCUCUUCAUUUAUGGAGGCUGUUGAGUCUGAAUGUUGGAUGUUGUGUAUCUCGUGUUCUCUGGGCUUUGUUGUCCUCAGUCUUUUUGCAGGAUCAGAAAACAAAACCGGGAGGCGCGUAAAUGUUUCUUCUCCAUGAUGUUUCUUCAAAUGUUUCUUCUGGAUGAUGAUAUGACCGUGAUAUGCCACCUUUGGUCUUGUGACGAAGCAAAGCUCAGGAAGAAGUGUGAUUAAAUGAGCAGAGCAGCAGUUUGUGCUCACAGAUGGUGACGGUGUGGAGAGACGGUGGUAUUUCCUCAGAAGAACCAGCAGAGUCACAAAGGACACCAGUCCAUCUCACCACCUUGACUCACUGACUGAUGCUCGUCUGCACUGCACAGAGGAAAUCAACUGACCGAGGAGUGUUUCUGAGUGAGGGGGGAGGAGUCAUCAUCCAGAUGGGCAGCAUAUCAGUCUUGGACUGUCUAACCUGCAGCACUGAAUGACCACCACACAUGAGCAUGUUCCUGCAACAUUCAGCAUCUGAUCCUUCAUCUGUGUGCUUCUGCUUUUGUGUCACAUGUCAAACAGCUGGAGAGGAAACUACACCAGUGUACUGGGAUGUUUCACCAACACGUGCCAGAUGCUGUUCCUUCAUGGUGACAUCACCAGAGACAGUCCCGCCCACCUCAGGACCUCGCCAUUGAUCAUGAUGAUUAUAAUGAUGACAGCGAGCGGAACUAAGACUGUAAAAAUCCACGACCAGAAUUUUUCUUUCUAAUUAUUAAUGAAUACUGAGAGCCUCUUUCUGUGUUUUGUCUGUUUUGUUUUUUUUACCUCAUUUGUUACUAACAAAGUUCACAAACUCACAGUUUACAUUCUGUAUGUUUCCAUCUUUACCAGCCACACUCUAACUGCAUUUAAGAAAAUAAUCCUUAGAAAUCGUCCUUUUUCUCUUUUGUAAUUGAUGAUAAUUCAGUGAAUAUACUGCGCUGCUUCCUUCUAUUGCGUCACACAUUGCUUUAUGUUUUUCA